UACGUAGGGUGCAAGCGUUAAUCGGAAUUACUGGGCGUAAAGCGUGCGCAGGCGGUUUAUAUAAGACAGAUGUGAAAUCCCCCGGGCGUCAACCUGGGAACGUGCAUUUGUGACUGUAUAGCUAGAGUACGGCAGAGGGGGAGUGGAAUUACCGCGUGUAGCAGUGAAAUGCGUAGAUAUGCGGAGGUAACACCGAUGGCGAAGGCAAUCCCCU
rnacentral:rRNA from 1 species